CAUGUGUGUGGAGUUUGCAUGUUCUCCCCAUGUCGUCGUGGGGUUUCCUCCGGGUACUCCGGUUUCCCCCCACAGUCCGAAAACAUGCUGAGGCUAAUUAGACUUGCUAAAUUGCCCGUAGGAAUGCAUGUGAGAGUGACUGGUGUGUGAGUGUGCCCUGCGAUGGGCUGGCCCCCCAUCCUGGGUUGUUCCCUGCCUCGUGCCCAUUGCUUCCGGGAUAGGCUCUGGACCCCCCGUGACCCAGUAGGAUAAGCGGUUUGGAAAAUGGAUGGAUGGAUGGAUAGUUUAAUAUGCUGUUGCAGUUAGAUUUCACUUUUUCUAAUCAUGUAGAUGGCAGAAUUUUAUGUGGUGGAAUUUCCUGAGCAGGAAGAAGUAGCAGUGGUGAGCAAACACUGGAUGAAGGGGGAGAAGAAGUGUCCGUGGCCAACAUUUGUUUCGCCAGACAAAAUAAGAAAAGCUGCAACCAAUCAGGUAAAACCUGACAUUUCCUGGCAGUGUUAUGCAGGUGAAAUUGCCUAUUCAACAGAAAGUUAUGAGAAAGCCAAGAAAAAUGCCAAGGUGAUAGAAGAGGACUCUUCGUUUUUCAGUGAUCCAAAAUGACAGCUGCAAAGGGGAGAUCGUUGUAGAAGGGUGGCCCUUAUAAAUGGAAAAAAGGCUAAAGAAUAACCAAGGACGUCGGACUGAAUCGCAGACAGCAGACGAAGAAGGCUUCACAGAGACAUUCUGUGAUUUAUUUGACAUUGCUCACCAGAUGCAUUGUCAUUAAUUAAUGCUGAAGAAGGCAAAGCCUUUCUGCUUGCACAACGUGAACAAGGCCGAAAGGGUGUCAUGGCAGGCAUGGAUGCAUCGUCGGUAAAGAAAAAAGCAGAACUGAUCAUUAACCGGAUAAACGCUGUAAGUGGGAAGAAAAACAGAAAGUGGAACUAGAUUUGUUGAACCAAA